CCUACGGGGGGCAGCAGUGAGGAAUAUUGGUCAAUGGACGAGAGUCUGAACCAGCCAAGUAGCGUGAAGGAUGACUGCCCUAUGGGUUGUAAACUUCUUUUAUAUGGGAAUAAAAUGUUCCACGUGUGGGAUUUUGUAUGUACCAUAUGAAUAAGGAUCGGCUAACUCCGUGCCAGCAGCCGCGGUAAUACGGAGGAUCCGAGCGUUAUCCGGAUUUAUUGGGUUUAAAGGGAGCGUAGGUGGAUUGUUAAGUCAGUUGUGAAAGUUUGCGGCUCAACCGUAAAAUUGCAGUUGAAACUGGCAGUCUUGAGUACAGUAGAGGUGGGCGGAAUUCGUGGUGUAGCGGUGAAAUGCUUAGAUAUCACGAAGAACUCCGAUUGCGAAGGCAGUUCACUGGACUGCAACUGACACUGAGGCUCGAAAGUGUGGGUAUCAAACAGGAUUAGAUACCCUUGUAGAC
rnacentral:rRNA from 1 species